rnacentral:rRNA from 1 species
AUUAGAGUUUGAUCCUGGCUCAGAUUGAACGCUGGCGGCAGGCCUAACACAUGCAAGUCGAGCGGAAACGAGUUAUCUGAACCUUCGGGGGACGAUAACGGCGUCGAGCGGCGGACGGGUGAGUAAUGCCUAGGAAAUUGCCCUGAUGUGGGGGAUAACCAUUGGAAACGAUGGCUAAUACCGCAUGAUGCCUACGGGCCAAAGAGGGGGACCUUCGGGCCUCUCGCGUCAGGAUAUGCCUAGGUGGGAUUAGCUAGUUGGUGAGGUAAGGGCUCACCAAGGCAACGAUCCCUAGCUGGUCUGAGAGGAUGAUCAGCCACACUGGAACUGAGACACGGUCCAGACUCCUACGGGAGGCAGCAGUGGGGAAUAUUGCACAAUGGGCGCAAGCCUGAUGCAGCCAUGCCGCGUGUAUGAAGAAGGCCUUCGGGUUGUAAAGUACUUUCAGUCGUGAGGAAGGUAGUGUAGUUAAUAGCUGCAUUAUUUGACGUUAGCGACAGAAGAAGCACCGGCUAACUCCGUGCCAGCAGCCGCGGUAAUACGGAGGGUGCGAGCGUUAAUCGGAAUUACUGGGCGUAAAGCGCAUGCAGGUGGUUUGUUAAGUCAGAUGUGAAAGCCCGGGGCUCAACCUCGGAAUAGCAUUUGAAACUGGCAGACUAGAGUACUGUAGAGGGGGGUAGAAUUUCAGGUGUAGCGGUGAAAUGCGUAGAGAUCUGAAGGAAUACCGGUGGCGAAGGCGGCCCCCUGGACAGAUACUGACACUCAGAUGCGAAAGCGUGGGGAGCAAACAGGAUUAGAUACCCUGGUAGUCCACGCCGUAAACGAUGUCUACUUGGAGGUUGUGGCCUUGAGCCGUGGCUUUCGGAGCUAACGCGUUAAGUAGACCGCCUGGGGAGUACGGUCGCAAGAUUAAAACUCAAAUGAAUUGACGGGGGCCCGCACAAGCGGUGGAGCAUGUGGUUUAAUUCGAUGCAACGCGAAGAACCUUACCUACUCUUGACAUCCAGAGAACUUUCCAGAGAUGGAUUGGUGCCUUCGGGAACUCUGAGACAGGUGCUGCAUGGCUGUCGUCAGCUCGUGUUGUGAAAUGUUGGGUUAAGUCCCGCAACGAGCGCAACCCUUAUCCUUGUUUGCCAGCGAGUAAUGUCGGGAACUCCAGGGAGACUGCCGGUGAUAAACCGGAGGAAGGUGGGGACGACGUCAAGUCAUCAUGGCCCUUACGAGUAGGGCUACACACGUGCUACAAUGGCGCAUACAGAGGGCGGCCAACUUGCGAAAGUGAGCGAAUCCCAAAAAGUGCGUCGUAGUCCGGAUUGGAGUCUGCAACUCGACUCCAUGAAGUCGGAAUCGCUAGUAAUCGUGGAUCAGAAUGCCACGGUGAAUACGUUCCCGGGCCUUGUACACACCGCCCGUCACACCAUGGGAGUGGGCUGCAAAAGAAGUAGGUAGUUUAACCUUCGGGGGGACGCUUACCACUUUGUGGUUCAUGACUGGGGUGAAGUCGUAACAAGGUAACCAAU